AUUGAACGCUGGCGGCAGGCCUAACACAUGCAAGUCGAGCGGAGCGGCGGACGGGUGAGUAAUGCCUAGGAAUCUGCCUGGCAGUGGGGGAUAACGUCCGGAAACGGGCGCUAAUACCGCAUACUAUCAGAUGAGCCUAGGCCGGAUUAGCUAGUUGGUGGGGUAAAGGCAUACCAAGGCAACGCCCCGCAACUGGGCUGAGAGGAUGAUCAGUCACACUGGAACUGGGACACGGUCCAGACUCCUACGGGAGGCAGCAUGGGGGAAGAUUGCACAAUGGGCGCAAGCCUGAUGCAGCCAUGCCGCGUGUAUGAAGAAGGCCCUAGGGUUGUAAAGUACUUUCAGUCGGGAGGCGUUACCGACAGAAGGAGCACCGGCUAACUCCGUGCCAGCAGCCGCGGUAAUUG
rnacentral:rRNA from 1 species